GGAUGUGAGGGUGACCUGGCUGUGACAUCUGCCAUGCUGUUGGUCACCAGGCUUGGCGUGGCUGGCCUGUCCCUUCCCUCCUCAUGGCUCCACAGACAUCCCUCCAGAAGCUACAGUCUCUGCUGGAAAGCCUGAGAUUUCCCAGCAAAACAGAACCAUCCUUCAACCACAGGCAGGGGCGAAUGUCUGCUGCAGGAGCUAAGACACUGCUUUGGGACAUCCACAACCCAAAUCUAAGUCCCUGGGUUCAAGUUUCAGGUCCACUU
rnacentral:snRNA from 1 species